rnacentral:rRNA from 1 species
GAGAGAAUCCUAAGGCCGACGGAAGAAGCAUUGUUAAGGAACUCGGCAAAAUGACCCCGUAACUUCGGGAGAAGGGGUGCCACAGAAAUGUGGCCGCAGAGAAUAGGCUCAAGCAACUGUUUAGCAAAAACACAGGUCUAUGCAAAACCGAAAGGUGAGGUAUAUGGGCUGACGCCUGCCCGGUGCUGGAAGGUUAAGAGGAGAGGUUAGCGCAAGCGAAGCUUUGAAUUGAAGCCCCAGUAAACGGCGGCCGUAACAAUAACGGUCCUAAGGUAGCGAAAUUCCUUGUCGGGUAAGUUCCGACCCGCACGAAAGGCGUAAUGAUUUGAGCGCUGUCUCGACAAUGCAUCCGGUGAAAUUGAAGUACCAGUGAAGAUGCUGGUUACCUGCGCCAGGACGGAAAGACCCCAUGGAGCUUUACUCCAGCUUGAUACUGGGAUUCGGUAUUGCAUGUACAGGAUAGGUGGGAGGCUGAGAAUCGGUAACGCCAGUUGCCGAGGAGCCAUUGUUGGGAUACCACCCUUGCAGUACUGGGUUUCUAACCAGCAGCCGUGACCCGGCUGGGGGACAAUGUCAGGUGGGGAGUUUGACUGGGGCGGUCGCCUCCGAAAGGGUAUCGGAGGCGCUCAAAGGUUCCCUCAGAAUGGUUGGAAACCAUUCGAAGAGUGCAAAGGCAGAAGGGAGCUUGACUGCGACACCGACGGGUGGAGCAGGUACGAAAGUAGGACUUAGUGAUCCGGUGGUAUUAAGUGGGAAUGCCAUCGCUCAACGGAUAAAAGCUACCCUGGGAUAACAGGCUUAUCACUCCCAAGAGUUCACAUCGACGGAGUGGUUUGGCACCUCGAUGUCGGCUCAUCGCAUCCUGGGGCUGUAGUAGGUCCCAAGGGUUGGGCUGUUCGCCCAUUAAAGCGGUACGCGAGCUGGGUUCAGAACGUCGUGAGACAGUUCGGUCCCUAUCCGGCGUGGGCGUAGGAUAUCUGAGAGGAGCUGUCCUUAGUACGAGAGGACCGGGAUGGACGGACCGCUGGUGUACCUGUUGCAGUGCCAGCUGCAUGGCAGGGUAGCCAAGUCCGGAAGGGAUAAGCGCUGAAGGCAUCUAAGCGUGAAGCCCCCCCCAAGAUGAGAUAUCCCAUUCGAAAGAAGUAAGACCCCUUGAAGACGACGAGGUAGAUAGGGCAGAGGUGGAAGUGCAGUAAUGUAUGGAGCUGACUGUUACUAAUCGGUCGAGGGUUUGAUC